AUGACAAUAAUAAUAAAUAAAUGUGUACGUCGUGUGGAAUUUAGCAAAACCCUCCUUCGUUGGCAUUAUUUACUUCCUGUUGAAAAAACGAAAGUAGCAUUCCUCACGUCAACCCAUAUUGAUAUGUCAAUACUAAACUCAAAAUGUAGAUUUACUAUUUUUAAUGUGACAUACUUCACCUCUAUAUUGAUUUUGGCAAUUGCAAUAUUCAAGGGCGACACACUUAGCUCACUGUCGUUAGGUGCUAGUUGUCCUACUUUAUAUUUUCCGAAAAAUUGGUUCCUGGAAUGUCAAAGACGGAUCUCAAUGACAGAUGACCAGCUGACAUCUAUCCACAGUAAGCAUAUUGCUGAAGUCCAUGAUGUGCCAGUAUCGGUGUUGAUUAGACCGUUUGUGUCAGUUCUAGACGAAGCUAAAGUGAGAUCUCUGAUGGAGACGCUGCAAGAUGAAGAUCACGCACACGAUGUUCCUCCAGUCGAUGUACUCUGGGUCAAAGGGCGUGAAGGAGGGGACUAUUUUUACUCCUUUGGGGGCUGUCACCGAUAUGAGGCAUACAAACGGCUGAACAGACAGACGAUUCCUUGUAAAUUGUUCAGAUCUACCAUCAGUGAUCUACGGACGUAUUUGGGAAGCUCUACGCCAGAUCUGCUCUAACACUUCUUUAUUUUGCUAUUAUUUAUUCAGUGAAUUUCUAUAAGGUCACUGGUAUAUAAAAUUCACGUGCUUUAUGUUCGUUGUAGGGAGUAUGACAGCAAAAGUAGUGUUUAAGGUCAUAUACGAGGUUUCUCAACAAUACAAGGUUCUGCAUAGAGACAUUGCUAAGUUAUUGGAGCAAAGAAGGGGAGAAAAAAUACAUGGACCAAUCGGAGAUCAAACUGGGGAUUCUUGCAUUACUAGUACGGUUAUCUAACUACUGAGCUAAGCUGGCCGAUAUAUGAAGUGUAGUAAUAUCAUAACAGUAUAAGCUAUUUCGGAAAUCAUACAAGAACUUUUCAUAUCUAGAAGAUAGGGGGAAUUAAAGAGGUUUAGAAGAAAUGGCAGAAACGCCGCGUGUGACCUUAAGCUAGAAAAAAAAAUGGAUUGAUUGAAGACUAAAAGUCCAGCAGAGGAGGACCCGGAUAUUUCUAUGAUAAGGAGGAAAUCUGUUGCCUUAGAUGUACUUUUCUAUCCCAAAGGAGGAUUGCAAUCCUCCCAAUGGCACAAAACUACUUCUUUCGUGUAAAUGCAUUAAUAUGCUUAAACUGAUAAAAAUGUAUUGAAAGCUUCAUCAAGUUAUCGAAAGCUCAAUGAGACCUAAAUCAUAUAAUAAACGACACCAUUGCCAGUAUUACAUCCAUUGUCAACAACACAAGGUUCUUAAAUCCCGGCGUCUACAACUUUGUAUGAUUCCAACCAGCCCAUCUAAUGCCAGACAGUGGAUUUGGACCCGCAGGAUGCGAUGACGUAUGCUAGCCUGAGGUCAAAUGUUCAUCUACUGCCAUCAUGCGGGCGAUUCUUUUCAACGUAUUGUUGCAAAUUUACCUUCUACCCCCCUAAUGUGCAUUAGUUUGACAGUUACGACAUCAAAAACAAGAGUUUUUUUUUUUUAAGUUGCGAAUAUAUCAGUAAUCUGAACGUGAUUCCAGAUUACAAUGUUUUCUUAAAUUCUUUAAAAUUUAAAAAAAGUAAAUAAUAUCUGUAAUGUUAAAUACUUGUACAAUAAUACAUUUCUGUAAUAAUUUGCUGCAAUGUGAGGAACCAAUUGCUUCUUGACUGCAUGUCCAAAAGAAUUUAUAAUUUCAGAUGUUAUUAAACUUAUUGUUGGAA